AUUGAACGCUGGCGGCAUGCCUAACACAUGCAAGUCGAACGGGGGCAGCAAUGCCCUAGUGGCGGACGGGUGAGGAAUACGUAGGAACCGGCCCACGAGUGGGGGACAACCUGGGGAAACCCAGGCUAAUACCGCAUACGCUCGCGAGAGGAAAGCGGGGGACCUUCGGGCCUCGCGCUGGUGGACGGGCCUACGUCCGAUUAGCUAGUUGGUGGGGUAAAAGCCUACCAAGGCGACGAUCGGUAGCUGGUCUGAGAGGAUGAUCAGCCACACUGGGACUGAGACACGGCCCAGACUCCUACGGGAGGCAGCAGUGGGGAAUAUUGGACAAUGGGCGCAAGCCUGAUCCAGCAAUGCCGCGUGGGUGAAGAAGGCCUGCGGGUUGUAAAGCCCUUUAAGCGGGGAGGAAAGCCGGGGUGUGAAUAGCGCCUCGGGUGACGUUACCCGCAGAAUAAGCACCGGCUAACUCCGUGCCAGCAGCCGCGGUAAU
rnacentral:rRNA from 1 species